rnacentral:rRNA from 1 species
AACUACGUGCCAGCAGCCGCGGUAAUACGUAGGUGGCCAAGCGUUGUCCGGGAAUUAUUGGGCGUAAAGCGCGCGCAGGCGGUUUCUUAAGUCUGAUGUGAAAGCCCCCGGCUCAACCGGGGAGGGUCAUUGGAAACUGGGGAACUUGAGUGCAGAAGAGGAGAGUGGAAUUCCACGUGUAGCGGUGAAAUGCGUAGAGAUGUGGAGGAACACCAGUGGCGAGGGCGACUCUCUGGUCUGUAACUGACGCUGAGGCGCGAAAGCGUGGGGAGCGAACAGGAUUAGAUACCUUGGUAGUCCACGCCGUAAACGAUGAGUGUUAAGUGUUAGAGGGUUUCCGCCCUUUAGUGCUGCAGCAAACGCAUUAAGCACUCCGCCUGGGGAGUACGGUCGCAAGAAUGAAACUCAAAGGAAUUGACGGGGGCCCGCACAAGCGGUGGAGCAUGUGGUUUAAUUGGAAGCAACGGGAAGAACCUUACCAGGUCUUGACAUCCUCUGACAACCCUAGAGAUAGGGCUUCCCCUUCGGGGGCAGAGUGACAGGUGGUGCAUGGUUGUCGUCAGCUCGUGUCGUGAGAUGUUGGGUUAAGUCCCGCAACGAGCGCAACCCUUGAUCUUAGUUGCCAGCAUUCAGUUGGGCACUCUAAGGUGACUGCCGGUGACAAACCGGAGGAAGGUGGGGAUGACGUCAAAUCAUCAUGCCCCUUAUGACCUGGGCUACACACGUGCUACAAUGGGCAGAACAAAGGGCAGCGAAGCCGCGAGGCUAAGCCAAUCCCACAAAUCUGUUCUCAGUUCGGAUCGCAGUCUGCAACUCGACUGCGUGAAGCUGGAAUCGCUAGUAAUCGCGGAUCAGCAUGCCGCGGUGAAUACGUUCCCGGGCCUUGUACACACCGCCCGUCACACCACGAGAGUUUGUAACACCCGAAGUCGGUGAGGUAACCUUUUGGAGCCAGCCGCCGAAGGUGGGACAGAUGAUUGGGGUGAAGUCGAAUCAAGACCUUACCCUUC